rnacentral:rRNA from 1 species
UACGUAGGGGGCAAGCGUUGUCCGGAAUCAUUGGGCGUAAAGAGCGUGUAGGCGGUCCGUUAAGUCGGCUGUGAAAGUCCAAGGCUCAACCUUGGGAUGCCGGUCGAUACUGCCGGACUAGAGUUCGGAAGAGGCGAGUGGAAUUCCCGGUGUAGCGGUGAAAUGCGCAGAUAUCAGGAGGAACACCAAUGGCGAAGGCAGCUCACUGGGACGGUAUUGACGCUGAGGUGCGAAAGCCAGGGGAGCGAACAGG